UUCCCCGUAGUACAAACACCGUAACACCGCUAGAAAUGCAUUGUAGAAUGUCGUGUACCGGCCGAAAUACCGUCGAAUACUUGGGAAAAACGUAGCAUAAUAUGUCACAAUUAUUGCGUAGCAUGCGGCCUUUUGUAGAGAAUAAAGCAGAAUACGACGCGCAAUGGAGGUGAUGUCUGUUUAUAUUUAAAUUCGUAAACCGAUUUCUCAACGUACGCCUGGGCGGCGAAUCGGAUGAGUUG